GGCGGCAUGCCUUACACAUGCAAGUCGAACGGUAACGCGGGGCAACCUGGCGACGAGUGGCGAACGGGUGAGUAAUACAUCGGAACGUGCCCAGUAGUGGGGGAUAGCCCGGCGAAAGCCGGAUUAAUACCGCAUACGACCUACGGGUGAAAGGGGGGGAUCGCAAGACCUCUCGCUAUUGGAGCGGCCGAUGUCAGAUUAGGUAGUUGGUGGGGUAAAGGCCUACCAAGCCUUCNAUCUGUAGCUGGUCUGAGAGGACGACCAGCCACACUGGGACUGAGACACGGCCCAGACUCCUACGGGAGGCAGCAGUGGGGAAUUCUGGACAAUGGGCGCAAGCCUGAUCCANCCAUGCCGCGUGCGGGAAGAAGGCCUUCGGGUUGUAAACCGCUUUUGUCAGGGAAGAAACGCUCUGGGCUAAUACCCCAGGGUAAUGACGGUACCUGAAGAAUAAGCACCGGCUAACUACGUGCCAGCAGCCGCGGUAAUACGUAGGGUGCAAGCGUUAAUCGGAAUUACUGGGCGUAAAGCGUGCGCAGGCGGUUGUGCAAGACAGGUGUGAAAUCCCCGGGCUUAACCUGGGAACUGCACUUGUGACUGCACAGCUUGAGUGCGGCAGAGGGGGAUGGAAUUCCGCGUGUA
rnacentral:rRNA from 1 species